GACGAACGCUGGCGGCGUGCCUAAUACAUGCAAGUAGAACGCUGAAGAGAGGAGCUUGCUCUUCUUGGAUGAGUUGCGAACGGGUGAGUAACGCGUAGGUAACCUGCCUUGUAGCGGGGGAUAACUAUUGGAAACGAUAGCUAAUACCGCAUAACAAUGGAUGACACAUGUCAUUUAUUUGAAAGGGGCAAUUGCUCCACUACAAGAUGGACCUGCGUUGUAUUAGCUAGUAGGUGAGGUAACGGCUCACCUAGGCGACGAUACAUAGCCGACCUGAGAGGGUGAUCGGCCACACUGGGACUGAGACACGGCCCAGACUCCUACGGGAGGCAGCAGUAGGGAAUCUUCGGCAAUGGGGGCAACCCUGACCGAGCAACGCCGCGUGAGUGAAGAGGGUUUUCGGAUCGUAAAGCUCUGUUGUAAGUCAAGAACGAGUGUGAGAGUGGAAAGUUCACACUGUGACGGUAGCUUACCAGAAAGGGACGGCUAACUACGUG
rnacentral:rRNA from 1 species